ensembl:snoRNA
AGGCAUGCUAUCCUAAGGACCUGGGCUUGUUUGUAGUCCAAGGUUCUCCAUGUGCAUGCAAGAAAAUUGGGUGGUCUUUGACUGUUGUGGCCCUUUUUUGCCAUCAGCAGCCACUCAGCUGUCCUACAGAU